rnacentral:rRNA from 1 species
GAUGAACGCUGGCGGCGUGCCUAAUACAUGCAAGUCGAGCGAACAGACGAGGAGCUUGCUCCUCUGACGUUAGCGGCGGACGGGUGAGUAACACGUGGAUAACCUACCUAUAAGACUGGGAUAACUUCGGGAAACCGGAGCUAAUACCGGAUAAUAUAUUGAACCGCAUGGUUCAAUAGUGAAAGACGGUUUUGCUGUCACUUAUAGAUUGAUCCGCGCCGCAUUAGCUAGUUGGUAAGGUAACGGCUUACCAAGGCAACGAUGCGUAGCCGACCUGAGAGGGUGAUCGGCCACACUGGAACUGAGACACGGUCCAGACUCCUACGGGAGGACGCAGUAGGGAAUCUUCCGCAAUGGGCGAAAGCCUGACGGAGCAACGCCGCGUGAGUGAUGAAGGUCUUCGGAUCGUAAAACUCUGUUAUUAGGGAAGAACAAAUGUGUAAGUACCUAUGCACGUCUUGACGGUACCUAAUCAGAAAGCCACGGCUAACUACGUG